ensembl:lncRNA
CGAGGGUUAAUCCGGAACCUCGCUAUACGGGGCACCACUGUAUUUUUUUGCACACUUGAAUUGUAAAUGACCAGGCUCACCGUAUUUGCAGCAUCCAUAAUUCCUUCUCUCAUACUGAGGAGAUCUAUUAAACUUUUCCUCAGGAUUCACUUGGUUCUGAGAACUAGGCCAGGCCAAUCCAGGUGAAGUACUACCCUGGCUUUCUUUUCCUGUUGUUUUGCUGAUGUAAUUUUUAUUAAAGGGCUUCUUAUUGUUGUCCCAAUUCUGCUUGUUAAAAUUUACCUUAGAUUUCAUUUGGAACUGAGAACCAGGCCGUGCUAAUCUUUUCAUUUCUAUUUGAAAUUCCAUUUGUUUUAACUCCAACUCUAUUUUUCUUUUUUCCUGCUCAAAUGCCAUUUGUCUGGCCUCUUGCUCAGCCUUUCCUCUGCUACCACCAGUUGAUCACUACAAAUCAACAUUAAUUAUGAAAGGAUGAAGAUGCAGGUCCAAACUUCACUGUCUUUUAAAUAAAACUUGUUUAUUUACAGAUGUUAUUAUUAAUCAUAGGUAACUUCUAUUAUCUUCAAUCUCAACCUUCUGUCAUUACAGUUCUUAUUCACUGCUCACUCUAAUCACACCUCAGAUCUCCCAAAAUACCACACUCUAUCUCCACUCUCUCACUCUGAUUCUCUCUGUCUCUCUCUCACUGCCUCUGCCUCUGCCUCUUUAUUACAUAUCUCUUGGCUCCGCCUCUUAGCAACAUUAGCCGGCAACAUGAAUAUGCAUGACUACUUCAUAAUAAGGGUGAAUGCUAGCAAUGCUAUCAGUGAGACUACACGAAGUUUCCCCACCCCAACCCUUGGUGAAUCUUUUACAUGGUACAUUAUUGCACUUUUUUAAAAAAAAAGCAGAACAGUAGGAUCGAGGAAGAAGCUGAGAGCAGAUUUUCUAUUUCAGAUGCCUACAGAAGUCCACAAGCAGGACCUGAAUGCAUUGCUUCAUGUCUCUGACCAUCUACAGCUCUACUCCCAAGCCAGAUUAGACAAGGAGUGUGUCCCUGUACUUUUGCCUCAAGGUCCUACUGUGAUGGCCUCAACUGUGGACAGAAGCCUUUUCUACUUCUCAAAUUCCAGAAUCCCACAUUCAACAUGGCCACUGACCAUGCUUGCUGUUGAGUUCUGGGGGAAGUAG